AUGAGACUCUCCACAUCCGAUCAGUUGGCGGUGGCUAUUUGGAGAAACUAUGCGCCGAAUAAAUGUCGAAUCUUCAUUUGGCUUGCGCUCAAAGAUCGUGUCUACACCAACGAGCGGAGACUACGCAGAUCAAUCGCCACUUCUGAUGCCUGCCCUUUCUGCGGUGUUUGCGAGAGCAUCACUCACCUACUCCUAGAGUGCGCCUCUCUGCGACCUCUUUGGGAGGAGCUUGACAACCACCAUGUCGGGGCGCUCGACAGCCUGCGCGACGUCUGGUUGCGUGCUGCCAUCGAUAAAGUUCGAUCUACCAUUCUAAUUGCUAUUCUUUGGAACACCUGGAAACGUCGCAAUGCUAAGGUCUUUCGCAAUGAGACUCUCCACAUCCACCGCAUCGCUAGGAUUGCGGCUGACGAGCUGCUGCUCUGGUCAAACCGCUGCAAGAACCCCCAACGUCAGGCGCUACUCCGAGACUGGGGAUCCAUGUUGUCACAUCUUGCUGCGAGAUUGUAA
rnacentral:rRNA from 1 species